rnacentral:rRNA from 1 species
AACGAACGCUGGCGGCAUGCCUAACACAUGCAAGUCGAACGAGACCUUCGGGUCUAGUGGCGCACGGGUGCGUAACGCGUGGGAAUCUGCCCUUGGGUUCGGAAAUACAGUUGGAAACGACUGCUAAUACCGGAUGAUGACGUAAGUCCAAAGAUUUAUCGCCCAGGGAUGAGCCCGCGUAGGAUUAGCUAGUUGGUGGGGUAAAGGCCUACCAAGGCGACGAUCCUUAGCUGGUCUGAGAGGAUGAUCAGCCACACUGGGACUGAGACACGGCCCAGACUCCUACGGGAGGCAGCAGUGGGGAAUAUUGGACAAUGGGCGAAAGCCUGAUCCAGCAAUGCCGCGUGAGUGAUGAAGGCCUUAGGGUUGUAAAGCUCUUUUACCCGGGAUGAUAAUGACAGUACCGGGAGAAUAAGCCCCGGCUAACUC